rnacentral:rRNA from 1 species
AUUGAACGCUGGCGGCAUGCCCUACACAUGCAAGUCGAACGGCAGCACGGGAGCAAUCCUGGUGGCGAGUGGCGAACGGGUGAGUAAUAUAUCGGAACGUGCCCAGUAGUGGGGGAUAACUGCUCGAAAGAGCAGCUAAUACCGCAUACGACCUGAGGGUGAAAGGGGGGGAUCGCAGGACCUCGCGCGAUUGGAGCGGCCGAUAUAAGAUUAGGUAGUUGGUGGGGUAAAGGCCCACCAAGACAACGAUCUGUAGCUGGUCUGACAGGACGACCAGCCACACUGGGACUGUGACACGGCCCAGACUCCUACGGGAGGCAGCAGUGGGGAAUUUUGGGCAAUGGGCGCAAGCCUGAUCCAGCCAUGCCGCGUGCGGGAAGAAGGCCUUCGGGUUGUAAACCGCUUUUGUCAGGGAAGAAAAGGCUUCUGCUAAUACCGGAGGCUCAUGACGGUACCUGAAGAAUAAGCACCGGCUAACUACGUGCCAGCCGCCGCGGUAAUAC